rnacentral:misc_RNA from 1 species
ACUUUAUAUUUGAAGUUUGCAUACUCUAUAUAUGAAGUAUUUUUUGGAGUUUCUCUAAGUUUAUACCAAUAUAACAUAAAAAAAAUUUGUUGGAAACCAAUACACUUUUAGCUUAAAUUCAUAGUAUAUUUUUAGUUUGGAUAGGUGGGAGUGGAAAAUUCUCAGCUAUAAUCAAUAAAAACAUACAUUGGAAGAAGAUUUUGGAAGAGGAAAAAUAUAUAUUGCACAAGACUCAAAAUUUCUCUAAGCUUAAGGACAAGUGCAGAACUAUGGUGCAUAUGUGAUUAGUAAGUUCUUUCACUAUAAUAUCUCUACAAAUAUUUUGAAGUGGCAACAUAGUAGUGUGAAUAAAUUUUCAGCAACAAUCAAUAAAAACAUAUAUUGGAGGAAGAUUUUGGAGACUGGAGAAGAAUGUACAUUCCACAAGGGUGAUUCUUCUAAACUUAAGGACAAGUGAAGUAACAUGGUGUAUAUGUGAUUAAAACUUUCAGCUACAAUCAAUAAAAACAUACGUUGAAGGCAGAUUUUGGAGAUGGAAAAAGGUAUAUUUCAGAAGACUUAUAAUUCCUUUGAGUUUAAGGACAAGUGGAGAAACAUGGUGCAUAUGUGAUAAAUCACUAUAAUAUCUUUAGAAAUCUUUUGAAAUGGCAACACGGUAGUGUGAAGAAAAUAGGAGACUUUAAUGAUAGUCCUUCCUUGUAAUCGUAGUUUUGUAUUCUUGCAUGUAGAAUUUUCUUAUAACAAUACUUUCUUUUUAACAA